AUUGAACGCUGGCGGCAGGCUUAACACAUGCAAGUCGAGCGGAGCGAGGGUGCUUGCACCUUAGCUUAGCGGCGGACGGGUGAGUAAUGCUAGGAAUCUGCCUAUUAGUGGGGGACAACAUUCCGAAAGGGAUGCUAAUACCGCAUACGCCCUACGGGGGAAAGCAGGGGAUCUUCGGACCUUGCGCUAAUAGAUGAGCCUAAGUCGGAUUAGCUAGUUGGUGGGGUAAAGGCCUACCAAGGCGACGAUCUGUAGCGGGUCUGAGAGGAUGAUCCGCCACACUGGGACUGAGACACGGCCCAGACUCCUACGGGAGGCAGCAGUGGGGAAUAUUGGACAAUGGGCGGAAGCCUGAUCCAGCCAUGCCGCGUGUGUGAAGAAGGCCUUUUGGUUGUAAAGCACUUUAAGCGAGGAGGAGGCUACUAGCAUUAAUACUACUGGAUAGUGGACGUUACUCGCAGAAUAAGCACCGGCUAACUCUGUGCCAGCAGCCGCGGUAA
rnacentral:rRNA from 1 species